CCUACGGGUGGCUGCAGUGGGGAAUAUUGGACAAUGGGGGGAACCCUGAUCCAGCCAUGCCGCGUGUGUGAAGAAGGCCCUCGGGUUGUAAAGCACUUUCAGUGAGGAAGAACGCCUGGUGGUUAAUACCCAUCAGGAAAGACAUCACUCACAGAAGAAGCACCGGCUAACUCCGUGCCAGCAGCCGCGGUAAUACGGGGGGUGCGAGCGUUAAUCGGAAUUACUGGGCGUAAAGCGCGCGUAGGUGGCUUGAUAAGCCGGUUGUGAAAGCCCCGGGCUCAACCUGGGAACGGCAUCCGGAACUGUCAAGCUAGAGUGCAGGAGAGGAAGGUAGAAUUCCCGGUGUAGCGGUGAAAUGCGUAGAGAUCGGGAGGAAUACCAGUGGCGAAGGCGGCCUUCUGGACUGACACUGACACUGAGGUGCGAAAGCGUGGGUAGCAAACAGGAUUAGAUACCCGAGUAGUC
rnacentral:rRNA from 1 species